rnacentral:rRNA from 1 species
UGCCAGCAGCCGCGGUAAUACGGGGGGGGCAAGCGUUGUUCGGAAUUAUUGGGCGUAAAGGGCGCGCAGGCGGCUGGGCAAGUCCGUCGUGAAAGCCCUCGGCUCAACCGAGGAAUUGCGAUGGAAACUGCCUGGCUUGAGUCCCGGAGAGGGUAGUGGAAUUCCCAGUGUAGCGGUGAAAUGCGUAGAUAUUGGGAGGAACACCAGUGGCGAAGGCGACUACCUGGACGGGUACUGACGCUGAGGCGCGAAAGCGUGGGGAGCAAACGGGAUUAGAUA